rnacentral:rRNA from 1 species
UGAGGAAUCUUGCGCAAUGGGGGAAACCCAGACGCAGCAACGCCGCGUGAGUGAGGAAGGUCUUCGGGUCGUAAAGCUCUGUCAGGCGGGAAGAAAUGCAUGGAGGUGAACAGCCGCCAUGCUUGACGGUACCGCCAGAGGAAGCACCGGCUAACUCCGUGCCAGCAGCCGCGGUAAUACGGGGGGUGCAAGCGUUGUUCGGAAUCAUUGGGCGUAAAGAGCGUGUAGGCGGCUUGGUAAGUCAGAUGUGAAAGCCCUGGGCUCAACCCGGGAAGUGCAUUUGAAACUGCGAGGCUCGAGUAGGGGAGAGGGAAGUGGAAUUCCUGGGGUAGAGGUGAAAGUCGUAGAUAUCAGGAGGAACACCGGUGGCGAAGGCGACUGCCUGGCCCUAUACUGACGCUGAGACGCGAGAGCGUGGGUAGCAAACAG